UUGAACUAAAACCACAACGAGUAAUUUGGAAUGGAGGGAGUACUUUACAACACCCAAUCCUGGUCUUUAUGCCAUCGGCUUCAAGUGGUACUGUGCUGGAUGCAAAGGAUGGCUCAUUGUCAGUAACUAUGGCACGAAAUUGAAGAUUUGAACAGCCAUGCUCAAGCCUUACAAUAGCGAGCUCUUCCCACUUGCCAACGGGGGUGCAAGGCCUGGGUCUGCAUACUGUGCCUCUCGGUCACGACUGCCAGCUAGGAGGGCAACCUGCAUUACGCUGGCCAGGUCAGCGCGCUCCAUGGCUGAGAUGGCGUCCUCGCCUCCUGCCGCUCAGGAGUCUGCCUAGGGUCCUGCCGCAGACCUCGCCGACAUCGGGUUCAAGAACAUGAAGAAACUCAAAGUGGGAUAGGUCGACCUCAUCGUGGCUCGACCACCAAGACCGGGCAUGGCAGCUGGGAGAACGAUGCUGGUCAAGCAGACUGCAAGUCGGCAACAUGAUAUUGAAUUUAUUCCUCUUGAUAUACUAAAGCCUGGUAUGUGUUGUUUCAGAUUUUUUACAAGUGCGUCCUGAUUUUACCCUUCCCAAUCUACAGAAAUCUUCACAGGUGUUUCUGUAUGAAGAAGACAUCGCGACCAGUAAUGUUAAGGUUGACUUCAUACGUGGGAAAUGAAAAGCCGCUUGAAAGCCAUGGUGCCGUUAGAGUGUAUGCCAGAAAGCGAGAUCUUUGAAUGAAGAAAUUAAACAUGGUGGUGUGCUCAAAGCCUCAAAGACUCCAAGUAUCCGCAGUUCAGAAUAUACGGCGAGGAGGUGCCGGUGCACGAUACACCCAGGAAGAAGCGCAUCAAAUUCUACAUCAGGCAGUGGCGCACAACAAUUUCGUUUUACUAAUGGGCUUGACUUGAUCCAUCUGCUCUCUCUUUAUGAGAGGAAGCUGAAUCGGGAUAAAUCAUUAGAAGUAAAAGGAGGUAACGCGGCAUGCACCUUUAUGUGAUUUCCACACACGCAUCAUGCUAGCUAAUUUUUAAUUGUUCUUAUUUUCAUGCACAUACAUCAUGCUAAUCUCGCUUUUUUUGUUGUUGUGCAUGGAUCAAUUUUCCCUGUUACUGCACCGCCGGCGACGCAACCUGCGACCAUGGCUACAUUGUGCGGGCUAUCCCUACUCAGCCUCAACGAGCACCAACAACCAAUCUGUGACUGCUCUGACGGGCGGCGGCGGCACCGAUAGUGUACGGCUUCAUAUGGGACGGAGACCUACGACUUCAUCUCUGCCAUGACAACAACCCAUGGGUCACUGCUCCGCGCGGCGGCGGCGACGACGACGACGAACGACUGUACCUGG